CUACCAUGCAGUCGAGCGAGAUUAUCUCUUCGGAGAUAGUCUAGCGGCGGACGGGUGAGUACACUAGGGUAACCUGCCUUAUAGAGGGGGAUAGCCUUCCGAAAGGAAGAUUAAUACCGCAUAACAUUAAGCUUUCGCAUGAAAGUUUAAUCAAAGGAGUAAUCCGCUAUAAGAUGGACCCGCGGCGCAUUAGCUAGUUGGUGAGGUAACGGCUCACCAAGGCGAUGAUCAGUAGCCGGCCUGAGAGGGUGAUCGGCCACACUGGAACUUAGACACGGUCCAGACUCCUACGGGAGGCAGCAGUGGGGAAUUUUGCGCAAUGGGCGAAAGCCUGACGCAGCAACGCCGCGUGGGUGAUGAAGGUCUUCGGAUCGUAAAACCCUGUCGUCAGGGACGAAGGUUGCAUGUCGAAUAGAUGUGCAACUUGACGGUACCUGGAGAGGAAGCCCCGGCUAACUCUGUGCCAGCAGCCGCGGUAAUACAGAGGGGGCAAGCGUUAUUCGGAAUUAUUGGGCGUAAAGGGCGCGUAGGCGGUGUUUUAAGUGAGAUGUGUAAUCCCCGAGCUCAACUUGGGAACUGCAUCUCAGACUGGAACGCUAGA
rnacentral:rRNA from 1 species